AUGUGUCAUAAAGCUCCAAACUUUCUAUUAUUAGAUCUGUUUGGAGGAAAAGAGUGGGAGAAGUUUGCCAAGAGAGUGAAUCAUGAAUCAUAUAACCUCAUUGUGGUUAUUCCAAAAGCUCCAAUCUUGUGUAGUGUUGAAAGGUUCAUUGAACAUAAAAGUUCAGUUGUUGAUUCCAUGGGUGAAUACUACAUGAUUAAGGUUGUACACAGUUUUGAGCGCCUCUGCAAAG